rnacentral:rRNA from 1 species
UACGUAGGGCGCAAGCGUUGUCCGGAAUUAUUGGGCGUAAAGAGCUCGUAGGUGGCUUGUCGCGUCGGGUGUGAAAGCUUGGGGCUUAACUCCAGGUCUGCAUUCGAUACGGGCUGGCUAGAGGUAGGUAGGGGAGAACGGGAUUCCUGGUGUAGCGGUGAAAUGCGCAGAUAUCAGGAGGAACACCGGUGGCGAAGGCGGUUCUCUGGGCCUUACCUGACGCUGAGGAGCGAAAGCGUGGGGAGCGAACAGG